CGCCCUGGUUGCGGUAAGGUCCGCGCCCGCCAAGCGCCUCAGGCGGGUUUGCGCGGUACCAGCGUAACGGCGCCGGGGUUCAGUUCCUGGCUGAAGCGGC
rnacentral:tRNA from 2 species